AAUCAAAAGAAUUCAGUCUUGUCGAUAAGUUCCCUCGGAAAACAUAGUAUCAAACGUACGGAACGUUUAAGUGAAACUGCAAGUGAAGUGAAAACUCAAUGUCGGUCUGCGGAUUGUUCGGUCUCCCGCCCCGGACCCGGGGUCCUCAAGACACCUGUCCUCAUCAGUUCCGCAUCAAAAUGGUUAACACUUCUUUAAUUUUUCUGUUUCCUGUAAAGAUGUUCUUUUGGAUUGAUUUUUCGGAGAGAUUUUAGAGAUGUUUGGGGGUUACACAUACAAUAUACUCAUCACAGACUCGACUCUUGUCUUCAAUUUCUUCGCUGAUAUCCAACGGUCUACGAAACAGUAAGGACGAUCACCUACACUUCUAUAAAUACUGCAUAUGUACCUACAUAUACUCAUCAGAUGGACAUGUCUAUAGUCUACCAAAUGCAAGAUUUCUUGUGUGAAAACACGUGGGUUCUAGAACUGGAAUAAAACACAAUUGCGGACUAUUUUUUCGAAACUGAAUGCUGGAUACGGUAUACUGGAUAGCAGACUCUAGAAGACAUACACAAUGGUCGGACAAAAUCGAUGAGGACUCGGAAAUGUACUUGGACCAUUCUUUGACACCUAUUUUGCUUUGAAAUAUGGAGUAGGUCCACUGGCGCUACCACAAUAAAAAAAUUAGUAUCGGGUAUAAAAAGCGCCUAGAACUCUACCUCUAUCGUGGUGUGGAUACGCUGUCAGACAUAUCCAUAUAUAAAAGUAAAUUAAACCAAA